CUCUGAAGAUUGAGCCAUGUGAACAGUCCCAUUUAAGUCAAUGAGACUUUGGAUUUGCUUUAAUAUGAAUAUCCAGCCAUAGGCAAUAUCAAGGCUGAAAGAAAUUAUUUAAUUUUUUUUUUACACUUCAGAGUAGCAUUAGAUCCACAUGAACAAACUUUUGAAGUGAUCUUGUCCCCAUUUGCUCAGUGCCUGAUGAAUGAGGAGGGGGGGACUGGAACAAUGACAUUUCAUCUGUUUUUCCUUGGGAAGUGCUAUUGUAACCCCACCAUACUUAUAGUGAUUUUCCAACACUAUUUCCAGAUGUGACACAAAGCAGGCAAACAACCAAUUUGGGCAUGCUUAACUCCACCUGAACUUAGGAAUAAACAGUGAAAAAUAAAAACUGUAUCUGACAUAAAACAUGGCUUAGAAUUCACUAACAAAAUUCACUAACAAAAUUCAUUAGCAAAAGGGAAUAAUUCAGAAUGCGUAUAUUUCCCCACAGUACCAUGAAAUUUCAAUUGUUACAUAUAGAUGUGAUAUUUGUUUUUUAAUGCUUUCCUUACAAAAUACAUAAUUGCUUUUCCUCAUUUAAGAUAUUGCCACUCAUCGCUCUCACUUGUCUUGAGAAUGCUGUGCUCAAAUACCUUCUAUCUCUUAGCAAGUUUAAUGAUCUAACAUUGUUGUGUUCCAAACAAAGCUCAUAUGAGGAAGACAACUGCAUGAAGCCACUGAGUUUUCUUUUUCUGAGUUAUUCAAAGAGCUGCUUAUCUUGAUGGCCCAUACAUAAUAGGGAAGCUGCUAUUAAAAUCUGACCCAUUAUCUCAGAAAACCUUCCCUUCAGUGGCAGUCUAAAGUAAUCUUAAGAAGCAGAAAUGAAAGAAAUGCAGAGAGGUGAAUCAGAUGUAGCCAACCCAGUAGUAUACAGAUAGCUUUUUCCUUUAUGGGUUCUUCCAAAUGCUCCCUCAAAGCAGAAUUUGGACAAGAUGGAUAAAUUGAAUCUGAAACAUAAUUCAUGAUAAUCCUAUUAAUUUUACCAUGUCUAAUUGGUUUGGAAAGGUUUGGCUGAGAGCUAUUACAAUGGAGAACCUGAAAAUGUUUUUAAAUGUGGUAAUCAACGCUUCCUUCACAUCUAACAGGAUUUAGAGAACUUUGUGGGUUUGGUGUUUGCUUAUUUUCAGAUUUUUUUCUUCUAUUCUAAAGUAGCUUUAACCUAUCUUGCUGUGGAAAGUCAGCAAGAUUGAGAAGAACUUUUCACAAAUCUUUAGAGUGCUCCCUCUUCUCUGAAUCAAUCAAAAGGAAGGAUUUGGCACUGCAAAUUCAUUAAUUAGAAACUUACUGCCCACAGGAAGAGUUGAAAUAAUGACUAUUUAAGGCUAUCCUUGCAUGGGAUACUUAAGCACUCUGCUGACAUACAGUAAAUUCACAUUAGAGCAUGAAAUGCUGUGGAGGAACUAUAGAAUGCUUCUUGCAAGUCUGAGACAGAACAAGGCUAUGCAGAAUGGGUUACAGCUGAAAUACACAGGAGUUCAUCCAAAUGAGAGGAUGGUAUCAAAAUCACAGCUGUAAGCUUUUAAUUUUAGUACUCAUUUGGAACCAGGUGUGGCUGUUGGUGAAAGAAAGUAGCAGUGCUACUCUUCAAGGUGGUCAGUCUCCUGUGCUUCAAGAAAAUGAGAUGUGAAAUUCAUAUCACUGAUGUUUCCUUUCUUAGUAGUAACAAAAAGCAGACUGUUGAGGACACCUUAUUCUGUAGUUCCUCUGCAUGUAGCAUGUUAUACUAGAGCAACUAAGCAUCUUAAUGAUAACUUAAAAAAAAAAAGUAAGUUAUACUAUAUUUUCUAUGAACAGUUGUGAUAAAAGCUGCCACAACAGCAAGCAGCAUGAACAUUGCUCACACUCAGUGCUGCAAAUGCUGUCCUGCACAGCUUCUGAGGGGUGGUUGGAAGCAAAAGAGCCUUUCAGGCUUUCCAUGAAAUCACAUCUGAUGGCCAUUAGGUGAAUAGAUGCUGUACAGUUUGCAUAGCAUUUGUCAGUAAUGCAAGUGAAUCAUUUCAGAAUAUUUAUAAGAGCACAAGUUACCAGAAUAAAGGCUUCUGAGAUAACCCACAACAUUCAAAAGCAUCCUUGAUGUAAAUUCAUGGAUAAACACGAGGAUUCAAUAUGGCUUUAAAAUAAAAUUUUAAAAAAAAAAAAAAAGGAACCAUUUCCUCUUUUGAAAGGGUCACUUGUAAAUCAGUUGCCAGACUGCUCAAUUCCACCUGUGAGCCAGCUCUCAUGCUCCUUAACUGCACCUGUACCUUGAGGCACAUGAGUGUUCAAGUGAAUGCAGUGGGAAUGAGAUCCUGCUAAUGCUUAGAGAGUUGCUUACUGAGUAAAGGCUUUCAUGUCCCAUGCAGAAAAUGCACCUACACUGGUGCCUUGGUAUCUGCAUGCAUGCAGCUGUAAGAGCUUUGCCCUUCAGAGGAGCUCUGCAUACUCUGAUCUUGCUCUCACAUCCUGUUUACUUACUAACAGCAGCUAAGGGCACAGCUAAAUGAACUGUUCAGCUCCCUGAACCAGCUAACUGGCACUCAGGUUUUCAUAUGAACUCCUGAAUGCUCCAGUUACCACCUAUCUCCACCUUCAGCUUUCAGAGGUUUAGAUGCCACAGCUUUGUGUUCAGGGAAAGUUCAGCUUUUUUCAGGUACAAACUAGCAUACGUGUGAAUGUUUCUCCAGUUUAGAAAGCCCAGCUCCUUUAUCCACUUCUCAGAUUGGGACCACUUUUCACCUAACAAAUUGCCAUCCAAGCAAGCUGAGUGUUAAUCAGUGCUUAAAAUCUGUAUCAAUCUGUGUGGGUGCCUUGUUCCUGUGCAUUCCCCACUAGAAGGUUCCUGAAGGCUCACAUCAACUGCACCUUAUAAAGAAGUGGUUUAGCACUUGAUUCAAUUAGAGAUGCUUUACAGAAAUGCUGUCAGUUUCUGACCUGUAUGCAUCCAAUCAAAAUAGAGAAUCGUGUUUUGUUAGAAUUAUUUAAGCUGUCAAAAAAAUACAUCUACACAAAUCAUUACAUUAGCAUAGAAAAAGCAUGCAUCCCUAAAAUAAAUUAUAAAAAAGCAGCCGAGCAAUGAGGUGGAAUAAGUCUCACCAGUGCUUACAGGCUUUGCAGACUCCAUCUCUGUUUAUAAUUUUUGCUUUGCCAUAGAUCUUUCUUCUGCUUUACGCAACAUUUAUUCCCAUAGAAAGCCUGCCUUCUGCACCUUCCUCAGUCUCUUUAACGUGUCACAUGCUGGGCUCUGCUUUUGCUCACUUCUCACCCUCACUGCUGCCUCUGAAAGUUCUGAGAAUUUAAACUGUACAGCUCCUGCAGCUCUGUAAGUAUUUUGCCUACCAUGCACUGGGAACAUACUGCAGAACAGAGCUGUACCAUGCGGCACAGUGUUACAAGCAGGCUACAACAACUUUCCCUUCCAGCACUUUAAUGAAUUUCACGUUCCAAGAAAUUGUGAAAACAAUGCACUAGUAACAAGCCAUGAGCAACCCAACUGUACAUUGACAAUUAAUAAAAUAUGCUAAGUGUCAAUUCUUUUCACAGUAUCGUUCCGUUUUACUUAGCCCCAGCCUGCAGUUCGAAAGUUUUUGGCAGCGAGCAGCACCAUAAAUCAUAACUCUUGUGGCAUCUGUUCCUCCCUAGAACUGGAGGUGGAGGUUAGGAACUGGGGCAAGUCAAAAGCACAGCUGGAUGUUUUACUGGACCACCAUAACAGUUUUCAGUCUAGUUACUGUUCUGAAACCAGAUAAUGGUGUGUGUAUACAUAUAUGGACAUACAAGUUACAGCUUUCUGGUUAGAAGACCAGUAUGGCUAUGAACUGUUGGAGGAAGAGUUUUUUGACAAUUUUGAUCACACUCAGGAGACUAAUUACCUUGAACAAAGGAUUACCAAAGUCACCAGUGUCCUUCACUGCCUACAGUUCCAUGUCAAACAUGCAUUUUUUUUGUUUACAUCAUUGCUCUCUGGAUUCCAACCCUCACUCAGUUUGGCUUGCAGUUAUUUGAACUGCAUGUGCUGUAAUAAAACAAAUGCAUCUAAUUUUCUUUUCCAGAGUUAAAUUUUGAAGAGAGAAAACAUUCACCUUUUAAAAGCAAUCCCGUUUGCUAAACUCAUGUAGGGCAAGUCAUGUGAAAUAUGUGCUGGCAGCACAAUAUAAUCAUUUCCACAAUCAGUGUGCAAAACUCUACUGCUCCUGGUCAUUGCACUUCAAGCUUGGAGCCUAGAACACUGCCUGUUGCUAUCCUGACAGCCAGUCUCAUUGCAAAACACGUGCUGCACAAAACAGAAAGAUGGCAAAGGAGCACUAAAAAAACUCUGAAUGCCAGCAAAUUCAAAAUAGUAGCUUUUCUUGAUGUUAUCACCCCUCUAUUUUCUCUCUCUCUUACACCAUUUUCCCUAGAGGUCAUCUAAACACAAUGCACAGUGGGCAAAAUAGAAUCAGUAGGGAGAAAAGCAGCCCUAGGACCAUGGCAGACUACAAGCAGAAUUAAAACUAGGAAAGCAAUACUCAGAGCUUGACACAGAGCGGAUGUGCUUUUCUUCAUAGAAUGCACCAAGUACAUCUCAGUUAACUGUGACACCUACAUCAGGAAGAGCUGCACCUCUCUCACUUCCACCCUCAUCCAAGAUAGAGCAAUAAAUACACAGUGCUAGUCAACCACCCACCACCCUGUCACUGUUUUACUGUAGAACAAAGAGAAUUACUUAAAAUAUUCUGAAAAAAUGGAGACAGGUGAGGAAGGGGGAUGCUGCAGAAACAACUUGCAAACAGCAUCUGUGAGGAGUCAUGAAAACAAAACAGCAUUGAAAACUAACUGUAACAUUACUAGUCUCAGUGGGAUUUAGGCAGGCAGGCAAAGCUUUUGGUCAUCAGCUGUAACACUCAAGUUGUGAUGGUCGCUUGCCAAUUAGUGCCUGUACCUUUUGUUUCCCAUUAAAUGUUAAUUAGGGAGUGCCAUACACCUGGUGCUUGGAGAGCAGCUCCAGGAACAGUAGGCAAGAAAAAAGCAGUUACCAGGCAGGCAUCGUUUACUGCAAGAGUGUGCAAAAACAUGGUUUAGAAAUGCUGGGUUACAGCUGUGUGAACUGCCUGGGACUGCAGAGCACUGUGCUUGAGUUACUCCUUCUUGGAAUUCUCAAGCUGAGCUCUUCAGAAUCAUCAAGAGAUCAUAUUCCUGCUGUUUCUUCAGAGAGCCUAAGAGUGGAGAAAUCCAGCUCCUGGAAAGGAUCUGAUCUGCAGGUCAGUGACUUUUGUUUGAGAAGAUACUCCAAACACAAACAUUUCUUUCCUUACCUAACUCUGCCUUGACAUAUGUAUUUUGAAAUGCAAUAUCUGUGGAAAUUCAGUAGCCUAACCAAGUGGGACUAAAUAUUUAGCUUUUGUAAGUCUUUCUCUGGUAGCUUCAAUGCUGCAUUUCUUUGUGCCAGAAGAACUGAUUUGUGUAAGUAUUUUAAAUGGCAAAAACAGAGAUUAAAAAAGAAGUACCACAUGGACUGUAUAUCAUUUCAGGAAAAUAAAUGUCACUCUAUCAAAAGGUUGAUUAUCCCUCUUUAGAAUAAGCAAGGAAGCUUCUCAAAUUACAUUUAUUUUAAGCAAUGAUAAGGGAAAAAAAAAGUUGCCUCAUUAAGCUUUUAACUUCCACAAAAAAAAAAAAAGGGCUAUUGAAAGGAAGUGAUAAAUUGAUGACUGCAUAAUAUCCUGUGAGUGGUAUCCUUUAUUUAAAAAAAAAAAAAGAAAAAGAAAAAGAAA